CGGGCAGGCGGUUUGUUAAGUCUUUUGUGAAAAUCCGGGGCUCAACUCCGGAAAUGCAGAAGAUACUGGCAAGCUAGAGACCGGUAGAGGCUAGCGGAAUUCCUGGUGUAGCGGUGGAAUGCGUAGAUAUCAGGAAGAACACCUGUGGCGAAGGCGGCUAGCUGGGCCGGAUCUGACGCUCAUCCGCGAAAGCGUGGGGAGCAAACA
rnacentral:rRNA from 1 species